UAAAAUAACUAAAGAAACACAACGUAAACGCACAAGAACAAGCCAAUUAAGUCGCAUAAAUAUGCUCCUAUCAUCGAGGCUUGAUCUUGAAUGAGGAUUUGAUGAAGAACGAAAAGGGCUUUCUUGAUCCUUCGGGAUUUGCUUGAGAGUUUCGGAGUUUCAGAGCUUCAGAGCUUCAAGGUGUAAUAUGAAUUCCUCCCCCAAAUGAAUGAAAUUGGCUUCUAUUUAUAGAAUUUUCCAAGGCCUAAUUUUGAAUAUAAUAUUCCAGAUGAAAUAAGUCGUUUAUGUCAGGUGUUGACACGUGUCCUGUUUGAUGACUUUUCCGAUGAUUCUCGAUUUUUUGUUUAGACACACGCUACGUGUAAAAUUUAUGUAAUACAUGAGCGCUGAAACUUUGAUUUAUCGGUUAACAUUUAUUUACCGAAAUUUCGAUGUCUACAAAUGCCCCCACUUCAAGGCGUGUCGUAUACAUGUGCUUGUCAUGUGUAGGAGAUGUGUUUUGAAGUCCCUUAUUGUAGAUGUCGAUCCAAGGGCCGUUGGGGCUUGAUCUUGAAUUGGGCUGGAAAUUUCUUCAAUGGCCGUUAAGGCUUGAUCUUGAAUUGGGUUGGAGAUUUCUUCAAGGGCCGUCGAGACUUGAUCUUGAAGGUUGAAAUUUGGACCACAAGGAGCUUCAUGUGGUAGAUGAUCUUUGGCUUUGGUAGUGGAUGAAUCGGCACGUAUUUUGUUGCGCUUGUUGACUUUCCACAGCUUUGAUCUUGAACUGGGUUGGAGGAUUUUCUAGAUUCCUCCAAUUGUUAGUUUUCCACAGCUUAUUCUUGAACUGGAUUUG
rnacentral:lncRNA from 1 species